UUAUUUUCGUUGUCUUUUAGCGUUGUUCUCCUGAAUGGAGCCGGAAGAGUUGCGAGGGGAUAUGAGUCACUGAGUGAGCACAGGGCCGUGUCAGCAAUGUGAUCCCGAGUGCUGUUACGGAGCCUACUCUGGUUGGAGUUGUCUCUCACCAAGCAGGUUAGAACUCCACUUGCUCUGUAGUGGGACAAGCAAAAACCUGUCUGACACAUCCAUGUAUGUGUGCUCUAUCCAUCGGAGUACUGUGAUGUUAUACACUCGUACGAAUAAAGGUGCUCUGGAGCAGUGCCAUAGAGCAACCACUUUUGGUUCCCUAAAGACCUUUUCAGUAGAUGUGUUUUCUUGUUUAUAUUUAGCAUCACUCUGCAGAACCCUUUUUUACACUUUUUUUUUUAAGAGUGUCAAACCUAAAGUGCAAGGCAGUGAUGGAUAGCUAGAAAAAUAUUUUCCAUAUUUUUGUAUGCAAGGUUCACUUUUUAAAAAAGGUGCUACUGAGAGUUAUUUGAGUAAUGCCAUAGAAGAACUGUAUAAGAAACUUCAUAUAAUGUAAAGGUUCCAGAAGCAUGGGGUGAGCAAACCUUUUGUCUUAGGGGGCCAAAGUGCGCUGUUUGUGGUGGGCCAAGAGCCAAAACGACAGAACAACAUACAAAAAAAGAACAUAGGUAGGCUUCAUAUUGUGUUUUUAAAAAUCUUUCUAUAACAUUACACUAUAUUUUGUUACUAAAACCUCAAAAAGAUAAGAAUUUAGUAAGUUAUGUAUAGUAUAAAAAUGUUCUCUCAUCGAGUGAGUAGGUGCUGUUAGGGUAACCGUCCUAUUUCCCGUGGGCCACACUGUUCUAUACCAAUUGAAGAUAUCUUCCUAAAUGUUUACAUUACUUUGAGCUUCUUUAAACUUUAAAAAUGUUCUUCACACUCACAAUCACAUUUAUAAAAAUUGUUCUCUAAGGAACCAUCCUUUGAAAUGUUCUUUAAGAAACUAAGAGUGGUUCUUCUAUGGAAUGACAUAAAAAAAAACACUUUUAAGCCCCUUUGUUUUUAAGAGUGUAGGGUUGCAAUAAUGUGUUGACCAAGGCUAUUAGUUGUCAGCAGUGCUGAUUAUGGAGAAAUAUUGGUGUGCCUUUUACUGAAAUAAAAAAGCACUUUAUGAUGUUCAUAUGAUACACACAGUCAUUCCAACUGAUCACAGGGCACGGUGGCUUCUGUUGAUUCAUUAUGCCGUAAAAAAAGAAAUUGAUUGUCGUACAGACAGAAAUUUAAAUGAUGGUGGCGCUGUGUCGGCCAAAGUGAGAAGAAAGGCGUAGUGGUUUGAUUGUUCAAUUAUAUCAGAUGACACUUGUUAGAUGAACUGAUCAUAUAAACAAUUGUUAGUUGCAGCCCACAUGUCUUGUCUUCACGUUUUCAGGCAUUUUUAUACAUGUAAAAACUUUUUUGUUAGUGGUGGACAAGCCUGCUCAGUUGACUUGAGUAUGAUCAUGCAUGUUGUAUUUCAUAUGAAAGUUCAUGCUAAAAGAGAUACAGUUCUAAACCAAGCUCUGUUUGAUGGAUCUAGUCGUUAUGGUAGUUCAUGUCAGCCUAGUAGCGCAGUAGUACAGUACGGGUUAUGGGAGUAGUUAAUCACUGUAAAGUAAGAAGACACAUCAGGAUGAUGGUUUUGGAAUUGAAAAAGAAAGCAGUAACUGAAAGUUGAUAAAGCUGUCUCAUAUAAGUGAGUAAGUAAUCAUUUUCUGAAGAUGACGGAAUUUGGAUUUUCAUUCAUUCAUCCCUGCAAGGUAUUUACCUAAGCGGAUUGUUAUUUCUUUAUCAGAUUUUGGAGUGCUGUGCUAUUGUAUCGCCACUCUUAGCUUUGUGUUAGCUCUGUGCCCAGAUUCCCCUCUAAGCCAACAGCUGUGCUAAACAUGUAUGGACUGUGGUGGAGUGGACCCUGGCGUUUCUCACUUUUUUUCCCCCCCUUUUUUGGCUGGAACUUGUGGAAUCUGUACAGUCUAGACACCAAAGCUCCCCCAUGAUUCCUAUGGGUCUUGGAGACAUGGGUUUAUUUUCGACUAGGGGGGUUGAGAGGCAGGCGUCUCCUGGUAAGAUUUGCAACUCGUCUCGGCCAGCUGUUGGGUUACGGUGGCUUGCAGUGUCCUGGACAUGUCGCCGCUACUCAAACCGCCGUUUUACAGCUACUGCUGUUGACACUGGAUAUGGACCGGACUAGGGUGUAUCGUCAUGGAUUCCUUUUGUCUUUUAGAAAUGCAGUUCAGUCUUGUACAUAUCUGUCUGCCUCACAGAAAAGUGAGAGUGGGGAAGUCCAGAGAGUGAGAUGAUGUUUCAGGUCUGCAAAGAUCACCACAACACAGCAGUGGUUACAUGCUGAUCACUGUGUUGGACACAUCACUAUCAUAACCCGGCAAUGUUAGCUGAACCAGAAGAAACAACCACACCGCUUCUGAACUACACACCUUCUACUCUACUUGUAAUCUGCUUCUGUGGUAAAGUCAACCAGAAACAACACAGACUUUUUACCUUGCUACUUUACUAUUCUUUAAAGAAAAACGGGCAUUUCCAAAAUAGUAAUUGGACAGGAGAAGGCAAAAAUGCAAGUUAAUGGAAAAGUGUUUUAUUCCAAGUGAUAUACUUUUAUUGGUCCAUUCGUCAAGAAAUUGUAACAACGAUGUGGCAAUCCAUCAAGGCGAAUAUUCUGUUAAUUAUGCCAUUGAAUGCAGAAGCAUUGUUUGACCACUAGUUUUCAUAAACAACAAAUCAACGGCCCAUACUGGCAUUUAUUAGUAAGCUGUGCAACAUCAUGGUUAUAGUGAUCAUUUCUCAUGAUCCAAAUUUUAUUCAGAAUAUUAUGAGAAUAUGAAUUGUGAAACCAGUAUUGAGAAUAGAAUAAAAUCUACCCUCGUGUUGAGUGUAUCCUUCCACCCGUUUUCAUCGUUUCAUUUAAAAGACGAAAUUCUACCUUUCACUCCCAGAUAUCAUCCAUUGAAAAUGCUCAGCUGGCUCAGACCCUCCCUGAUACCAUGUAUUCAGAAACAUCACAAAAAUCAUCUAAAUCAUUUUGAUUUUAAUCCAUUUGACCUUUUAUACUGGCUAUGUGAUGAGCAGUGUUUGCUCUUAUAGUGCAGACUGGCCGCAAACAGUAAAAAAGAGGCAUGUAUAAAAUACAUUCCCGCAAUUUUUUAUGGACAAAAUGGGCAAAAACUCAUUGCCAUGGUUUUCCCAGGGCAUGAAGCAGGGUGAAAUCGCUGUGAAAUCACUUUGCCUCGAGUACAGCUUUCAUUAAAUGUCAAACACUUGGUGCAUUAAUAUGUUACGCAAUUGAUGUGUGUGGUGAUGUGUGUAGCCUGUAUAUGAUAUUUUACAAUGCUUUGAACAUGCCUAAACUACAUUUCAAAACUGAAA